rnacentral:ncRNA from 1 species
CGCCGUGGACGACCACGGUGCGUCGCUUACUGACCAACGCGGGACGGCCUGC